CUGGACUAGACUGUCAGCUCCAUGGUGUCAGGGACCACGUCCGUGAUGGCUCAGCAGUGCCCAGCACACAAUAAACCUCUGUGGAAUAACAGCUGCCUGUAAAUGCUGAAGUUCAAAACAAGUAAAGAAAAUUACUCUGGUAAUGAAAGGGUUACUGCUCUUAAGUUGCUGCCAAUCCAGUUCUGGGAAAGCUCCGUGUUGCCAGAAGCAGUAUGAAUAAAGAAGCUCUGAGAACUCCAGAAGAUAGAAAUGCAGAUAUCAAAGAAGAAAGAAUAGUUAUCAAUAAAGAGGAAGAACAUGACUUUCCAUUCGGCUUUAUGAACAAUGAACUACAUGAUUCUUAUGAAAGUGGAAGAUUGAUGGAAAUUCUGUCAAAAUCUAGCCCAGGUCCAUAGGCUAUUGCUUGAAAACUAUUAAACCAUAGAGGCUCUGAAAUAUAGAAUUUAUUUAUCUUUUUAU